GGUGAACCGAGUGCAAGAACAAGCGAUAGGGGCACAUCCAUGGUUGACUAAGCAAGUUAUACUGUUUUUGUAACGUGUACAGAGUUUAGAAGCGAGUGAUCUCGCUCUUGGGCAGUUGCACGUGUCAAGUCACUACCCUCCUUUUUGCCGGCACAGUUGAAGUUCUCACGUGGUAUGCUUAGGCUAACUUUUGAUUGUAGAUAGUUGGUUUGGAGAUGUAAGGUUAUGUAACCUUCUUUUGCUAAUGGGAUUGUAAAUAAUUGUCGA